AUAAGGCCGGCAUCAGUUCUUUGAGAUCAUCUCAGCUCCAGGUAUAAAGAUUCAGCACAUCGCUCACCACGACAGUAAAAACAACAAGCCUUUUUACUUUCAACACAAGUUUACAAUGGAUAUAGUUAUAUGUAAAGGUGUAUGGGCUAAUAGGUUUAAUAGAUUCUGCCAACAUAAAGGAAAUCAAGAAGCGUGUUAUGCAUCUGGACUACAUGGGGCACAUUAUGAUAACUUGUUUUGGGAAACCACUCUUGAAAUCCCACUCAAAUUGCCAUGUCAACUUUUCAUCAGGGACAAGAGAUGGCAGCAAAGAGCACUGUGGUCAGACUGGAAAGAACUACACAACUUCCUCUGGAGCAUAUAGCAGCUGAUAAGUACUGGAAGGAUUAAGAUUUUUAAAUAGAAAUAAUUUACAAAUCUGUAUAACUUCCUGGCACCAGUAAAAUU